GUAAUAAAGCUCUUUCGGCAGGAACGAAACGGCGGGCUCUAACAUAGCCUGUCAAUGACGGUACCUGAAGAAGAAGCACCGGCUAACUACGUGCCAGCAGCCGCGGUAAUACGUAGGGUGCGAGCGUUAAUCGGAAUUACUGGGCGUAAAGCGUGCGCAGGCGGUUCUAUAAGACAGAUGUGAAAUCCCCGGGCUUAACCUGGGAACUGCGUUUGUGACUGUAGGACUGGAGUGUGGCAGAGGGGGGUGGAAUUCCACGUGUAGCAGUGAAAUGCGUAGAGAUGUGGAGGAACACCGAUGGCGAAGGCGGCCCCCUGGGUUAACACUGACGCUCAUGCACGAAAGCGUGGGUAGCAAACAGGAUUAGAUACCCUGGUAGUCCACGCCCUAAACGAUGCCAACUAGGUGUUGGGGAAGGAGACUUCCUUAGUACCGUAGCUAACGCGUGAAGUUGGCCGCCUGGGGAGUACGGUCGCAAGAUUAAAACUCAAAGGAAUUGACGGGGACCCGCACAAGCGGUGGAUGAUGUGGAUUAAUUCGAUGCAACGCGAAAAACCUUAGCUAACCUUGACAUGCCAGGAAACCUU
rnacentral:rRNA from 1 species